UUGAUUUUUGGAACAAGGAGAUGGAAUAGGGGCUUGCUCCGUCCACUCCACGCAUCGACCUGGUAUUGCAGUACCUCCAGGAACGGUGCACCUCCUCCUAUACUGGUAUAAAAACAGAAGACAAGCGUACGCUGGGGCUUCCCAAAGGGAAGGGGAGAAAAGUGGCCUAGGUCAUGGUGAUCUGUAAUGAAUCCAUAGGCCUUGUGGUUUUGAGAGACCUGCAUGACGGUUACCCAUCGAUGGAAGGGAGAGGAAGAACGUGGUUUGUUUUGAAUUGAAGGAAUAGCAGAUGGAUUGUGGAGAAUUUUGCAAGGAGGUGCUACAAAAGACGUUGAGAUUUACUCUGGGUCAUGGUGAUCUGUAAUUAAUCCAUAGGCCUUGUGGUUUUGAGAGACCUGCAUGACGGUUACCCAUCGAUGGAAGGGAGAGGAAGAACGUGGUUUGUUUUGAAUUGAAGGAAUAGCAGAUGGAUUGUGGAGAAUUUUGCAAGGAGGUGCUACAAAAGACGUUGAGAUUUACUCUGGAAGAACAAAGGAAAAUAUUGUGUCAGGAAAUUGAAAUGGAAGAAGUUGAAGCAGCUGUUAAAAUGUGAAGCGGAGGAAAAACACCAGGGAUAGAUGGACUACCAAUUUGGUUUUAUUUGACUUUUUUGGAAAUUCUAAAAAAUGAUAUACUUCUUUUUGGGAAUUUUAAAA